GUAAAAUUGAGUGACUUAUAUACUAGCUAAUCUUUAGACUGCAAAUACAGUAAUUUCUAGGCAUUGUAGUGAGGAUGGACAGUAAUACAUGGCACUCACACUAAAUACUGAGAAAUCACUGCAGUCACCACUGCUACUGUUACCACCAUUGAGAUAGUAGAAUAGAAGCUUUCUUCACCUGUCUUCGCAUUACUGAGCCACUAACCAGUGCUCUCCCCUGCCACUGUAAACAUUCUGUGGCCGCCCACAGCGCUCUGAAAGUUGGAGGCUGGUCAGCGACACCUCAGUGAGCUCUCCCACAUCUGCCUUCAUUCAAUGAGUCAUUUGAUUAACAAGAGUCUGUGGAUUUGUUCCCAUGCCUUCUAAUGCCAGUUAUAUUUGUAACUUUAAUUUCAAAAUUCAACUGAAUUACUAUAUAAACUAAAAAACUAAGAGUGUGAAAGCAAGAGAAUAGUUGCUUCUGUGAAAAAUAAGUCAAAUGCUAUGGAAUGACUUGAAAAAUAUGAGUUCCUAAAAAAUAUGCUGAACAAUUCAGUGAGGAAGAAACUACCGUAAAGAUGAAAAAAUACACAAACAAUGAAGGAUUCUGCAUUCAGAUAUCUUUGGAUUUCUCAGCCAAGCAUCAAUGAAUCUUGAAUCUCAGCUGAUGACACUCCUGGGCAAAAUGGCUAUGAAACUGGAAAGAUGUCUAUGAAACACACAAUCCCUCAAGCCAGAAAAUGCACUUGACACAUCUGUGUCCCUUGAGGAACCCGAAGUUUUGGUGAAUCCAGAAAGCCAUGGAUGGCAGAACUGACCACAGAAAAAGAAACAGAGGCUCAGAAAGGUGAAGCCAAUUGCCCGAAGCCACACAGAAUAUCAGCUGGAGUCAGGAUUCUAACACCAUCCCAUGUGAGUUUAGACAUGUGCACGUAAUCCCCAGGACAUACCAAAAGAAACAG